rnacentral:rRNA from 1 species
GACGAACGCUGGCGGCGUGCUUAACACAUGCAAGUCGUACGGUAAGGCCCUUUCGGGGGUACACGAGUGGCGAACGGGUGAGUAACACGUGAGUAACCUGCCCACAACUUUGGGAUAACGCUAGGAAACUGGUGCUAAUACUGGAUAUGUGCUCCUGCUGCAUGGUGGGGGUUGGAAAGCUCCGGCGGUUGUGGAUGGACUCGCGGCCUAUCAGCUUGUUGGUGGGGUAGUGGCCUACCAAGGCGGCGACGGGUAGCCGGCCUGAGAGGGUGACCGGCCACAUUGGGACUGAGAUACGGCCCAGACUCCUACGGGAGGCAGCGGUGGGGAAUAUUGCACAAUGGGCGCAAACCUGAUGCAGCAACGCCGCGUGCGGGAUGACGGCCUUCGGGUUGUAAACCGCUUUCAGCAGGGACGAAGCUUUUUGUGACGGUACCUGCAGAAGAAGCACCGGCUAACUACGUG